rnacentral:rRNA from 1 species
CAGUCGCCGCGGGAAUACAGAGGGUGCGAGCGUUAAUCGGAAUUACUGGGCGUAAAGCGUGCGCAGGCGGUUUUGUGAGACAGGCGUGAAAUCCCCGGGCUCAACCUGGGAAUGGCGCUUGUGACUGCAAAGCUAGAGUGCGGCAGAGGGGGAUGGAAUUCCGCGUGUAGCAGUGAAAUGCGUAGAUAUGCGGAGGAACACCGGUGGCGAAGGCAAUCCCCUGGGCCUGCACUGACGCUCAUGCACGAAAGCGUGGGGAGCAAACAGGAUUAGAUACCCGAGUAGUCCCUGUCUCUUAUAC